AUUGAACGCUGGCGGCAUGCCUUACACAUGCAAGUCGAACGGUAACAGGUCUUCGGAUGCUGACGAGUGGCGAACGGGUGAGUAAUACAUCGGAACGUGCCUAGUAGUGGGGGAUAACUACUCGAAAGAGUGGCUAAUACCGCAUGAGAUCUACGGAUGAAAGCAGGGGAUCGCAUCACCUUGUGCUACUAGCGCGGCCGAUGGCAGAGUAGGUAGUUGGUGGGAUAAAAGCGUACCAAGCCGACGAUCUGUAGCUGGUCGGAGAGGACGAUCAGCCACACUGGGACUGAGACACGGCCCAGACUCCUACGGGAGGCAGCAGUGGGGAAUUUUGGACAAUGGGCGCAAGCCUGAUCCAGCAAUGCCGCGUGCAGGAUGAAGGCCUUCGGGUUGUAAACUGCUUUUGUACGGAACGAAAAGCCCUGGGUUAAUACCCUGGGGUCAUGACGGUACCGUAAGAAUAAGCACCGGCUAACUACGUGCCAGCCGCCGCAGUAAAAC
rnacentral:rRNA from 1 species